AGAAGAGAUGCGGCUAAAGCCAAAUACAUCCUUGUGUGAACUUCGAACAAGUUCGAGAGAUGCAAGAUCACUGUAUCACCUCAAAUAAAAGCAGAGGCUGGAGAAAAAUUGCUGUUCCGUGAUGUUUAGAGAAGUGUCAACCUGUGGAUUAAGAUGCGAGCCGACAGAAUUCUGGCUUACGCGGUCUGCAAGCUCAUUCAUCCACCACACCUUAAAAGUUGCUUUUGUCAGUACAGGCUGCCCAGCUGUGUUUUUCUGAAGAGAGAAGGACAGUCUCCUCUGACCCAGCGCUGAACUGUGGAGGCAGCCAGUGGAGCUUCAUGAAGUUCUGUUAAUCAACUAACCUUAGCAUGCAAAACUGACAAGGAAAAUCAUAUAGCAUUAUGGGCCAAUCACAUGGAACACAUUCUUGUGUUCAUAAACAGUGAAAGGAUCAGAAUACAGGAAUCUCAGGAUACAUUUUUAAAUGCUUCAAAUUUGAUGUAGCACCAAAAAUGCAGCACUUAUGGUGCGAGAGGAUGAAAAACAGUAAGAGGUGACGCUGCAACCAACGGCAUCCAUCACAUGCAUUUAAUUUAUUAAAAGUAGGACACUGCACUGCACAAAAAAUCCUAUAAGCGGUAACAGUUAAAUGCAGCAUCUACAAAAACAGUUUAUAUAUUUAUUUUAUUUUAAAGUUAUAUUCUAAGCACUUUAUUCUAUAGAUGUUUAAUAUUUGAAGGCCGUUUCCAAGUGG
ensembl:lncRNA